rnacentral:SRP_RNA from 1 species
AAUUUAGCGGAAAAAUGUCCCCGCUAAAUUUAGCGGGAAAUUUUCCUCGCUAAAAUUUGCUUAAAAUUUCCCCGCUAAAUCUAGCGGAAAAGUUUCCCCGCUAACUUUAGCAGAAAAUGUUCCCCGCUGAAUCUAGCGGAAAAAUUUUCCCCGCUGAAUUAAGCGAAAAAUUUUCCCCGCUAAAUCUAACGGGGACAUUUUCCUCUAGAUUUAGCGGAGAAAUCUUUACGCUAGAUUUAGCGGGAAAAAAUUUUCCGCCAAAUUUAGUGGGAAAAAUUUUACACUAGAUUUAGCGGGGAAGCUUUUCCGCUCGACUUUGCGGGGAAAAUUUUCCGCAAGACUUAGCGGGGAACAUUUUCCGCUAAAUCUAGCUGGUAAAUUGUUCCGCUAGAUUUAGCGGGGAAAAAUUUCCGCUAGAUUUAGCGGGAAAUCUUUUCCACUAGAUUAAGCGGGGAGACUUUUCCGCUAGACUUGGCGGGGCAAAUUUUCCGCUAAAU